CUACGGGAGGCUCCAGUGGGGAAUAUUGCACAAUGGGCGCAAGCCUGAUGCAGCCAUGCCGCGUGUAUGAAGAAGGCCUUCGGGUUGUAAAGUACUUUCAGCGGGGAGGAAGGGAGUAAAGUUAAUACCUUUGCUCAUUGACGUUACCCGCAGAAGAAGCACCGGCUAACUCCGUGCCAGCAGCCGCGGUAAUACGGAGGGUGCAAGCGUUAAUCGGAAUUACUGGGCGUAAAGCGCACGCAGGCGGUUUGUUAAGUCAGAUGUGAAAUCCCCGGGCUCAACCUGGGAACUGCAUCUGAUACUGGCAAGCUUGAGUCUCGUAGAGGGGGGUAGAAUUCCAGGUGUAGCGGUGAAAUGCGUAGAGAUCUGGAGGAAUACCGGUGGCGAAGGCGGCCCCCUGGGCGAAGACUGACGCUCAGGUGCGAAAGCGUGGGGAGCAAACAGGAUUAGAUACCCCGGUAGUC
rnacentral:rRNA from 1 species